CCUACGGGUGGCAGCAGUGGGGGAUAUUGUACAAUGGGGGAAACCGUGAUGCAGCGACGCCGCGUGUAGGAAGACGGUCCUCUGGAUUGUAAACUACUGUCCCCAGGGACGAAGAUGACGGUACCUGGGGAGGAAGCUCCGGCUAACUACGUGCCAGCAGCCGCGGUAAUACGUAGGGAGCGAGCGUUGUCCGGAUUUAUUGGGUUUAAAGGGUGCGCAGGCGGAAGAUCAAGUCAGCGGUAAAAUUGAGGGGUUCAACCGCUUCGAGCCGUUGAAACUGGUUUUCGUGAGUGAGCGAGAAGUAUGCGGACUGCGGGGUGUAGCGGUGAAAUGCAUAGAUAUCACGCAGAACUCCGAUUGCGAAGGCAGCAUACCGGCGCUCAACUGACGCUCAUGCACGAAAGUGUGGGUAUCGAACAGGAUUAGAUACCCGUGUAGUC
rnacentral:rRNA from 1 species